rnacentral:rRNA from 1 species
UACAGAGGGUGCGAGCGUUGUUCGGAAUCAUUGGGCGUAAAGCGCUUGUAGGCGGCCUGUCAAGUCGCGUGUGAAAUCCCUUGGCUUAACCAAGGAAGUGCGCGCGAAACUGGCGGGCUUGAGUGCCGGAGAGGGUCGCGGAAUUCCCGGUGUAGAGGUGAAAUUCGUAGAUAUCGGGAGGAACACCAGUGGCGAAGGCGACUUACUGGACACAUAUUGACGCUGAGGUGCGAAAGCGUGGGGAGCAAACAGG